ensembl:lncRNA
GCUGCUGUACCUUUUUCUAAGGUUUCUAAAUAAUAAACAUUUGAAUUUGGUUCUGUGAAAUGAAAUUAUUCUGUUGAGGAGGACGGUUGCUGGUUUGUUCCAGUCUACAGCUGAGAGAGGCUUUCCCACUCAAUCUCUUCUUUUAUGCCAUUUCUUGGAUUUGCAGGUCUCUCUUCUGUCUCCCACUCUUCAAACUUUCUGGACCUCUACACUCUACUUGGUAUUUUCUCAAUUGUUUGUGUGUUAAUGCUGCCGAGAGGGAAAAAUUCCUAAAAGAAGGAGAGGCAAUUUGACUGUGCUGUUUUGUGCUUGCACCUGGGUGACUGGUGGCUGACCAUCCAGCAAGUGGGUAAACAAAAAGCCACAAGCAGUCCUGGAAAAUGGAAACUCUGCCCCUUUAUCUGUUACAAAGCUGCACCAGUCUGCUGAGUGCAAAAAAUGCAUUGUUCAGUAAACCCAGCGAAGACCAUAAGAAGUAUGCUCUGAUCAGCAACACGAACCACAAAGAGUGCCCAGCAGAUCCCCAAAUACUAUGUUUUUCAUCUCAUUUUCAUAUCCUUGACUCAUGCAUCCUGUCUAAGCUAAUGUUAGUUUCCUGACUGCAGUGUGUCUGCAGCCCUGGACUGUCAACAAGUGCUGGAGCUAUCCCGUAAAGAUCACUACUCCUCAAAUUUUUUUUAGUCUUCUAAUGACUCUCUCAAAGCUACCUCAUUACACCAAGUUAAAUCUGGAAUCUCUGGAUUUACACUGGAAUAGCAGAGCACUUUCCCCUCCUGUUUUAUAAACAGAAAUUUUGUUGUGGCAGUCUAGAACAUUCAGCUUUGACUUGAUGUCUUGGAAGAAAAUAAGCUACUACCAUGAGCAGUUGCAAUAAUCAUUCCACAUUACACAAUCACAUCCUUCCCCUUGAAUGAAACAGCCCUAAACAGGAAGAUCUGAUCUGGAAUAGACCCACUACUUUUUGUAAGAUCCUUGUGUCUCCAUUUCCCUGAUAACCUGAACUUCUGUCCAAACUGCUGUUGCGUACGAGACAGCAUAGCACUGACUUUGCAUUUCUUAUUUGCAAAAACUAAUAAAAUUUAAACAAGCUUUUUAGGCUAGACUUCAGCUUUACCCAAUUCCAAAUAGGAGCCCAAGUGGGCAAACUUACACGGAACUACAUGUAUUGCUCUUAUAGUAAUGUCUCCUAUUUAUUUCCAUGGAAAUGACAACAGCUACAAAAAGCACAAGAACGCUAUUUGGUAGAGCAAAUUCUCAGUUACAAAACACUGUUUUUUAACAGUCACCACCAUGAGCUACAGAUAUUCACCAGCCGUGAGCAAUGUACAACGGUAAAUUGUAAGAUGAACAAAAAAAGCCGUGCUGCACUUGUAAACAUUUGCAACAGCAGAGGUGACCCGCUGUUGCUGCUGCCAUGGCUGAAAUGCACCACCUACCACCUCACUAUGCUCACUUCCACUGCAUGGUCUCCAUCAGUGUUCAGCAAGCACUGAUGGAUGUCAAAUGGCACAAUUUUUUUUUCUGCAUGGAAGAAUUCAAUGCCACUCCUUUGCACCCCAUGCACUUCCAAGUCAAAUGUAAUUUUGUCAGACUGUCCCUUUGCUGCCACACUGUCACACAGCAAUAAAGUGUGAUGGAAUAUAGGCAGGAAGGUUCAAACUCUACUGCCAUACCACCAACAUUUGCCUUUGACAUUGUGGGCCAAUUUAAAAUAGGAGACAUUGCUUUUGAAGCAGACCUAGUAUAUGCACCUAAUGUUACAUUCAUGCUCAAAAGUUUCUAGAAAAGACCUCCAGUCCUAUGAACUCUGUUUACAGCACAGGAAAAAAAAAAAAAAAAUUCUGUGCAGCCAUCAGCUUUAAAAACAUGAGUGCAGGUACACAUACACUGUUUGGGCAGUGAGAUACCAGAAGUCUAUAGGAUCCCAAUUCAGAUUUAUUUCCUUAAGUAGAAGGCUAUUCAUCUAAGCAAUUAUUAGCUGAAUAAUAAGGGGAUGGAAGACAGCGUCUCACCUUAAACCGCAACAGCUAAGGAUAAAAUAGUAACAGUGACGGUGGCAGCUGCAUACACUAACAUUUUGCAUAGAAAUUCAUUUAACACGAGGCACAGAUACAGAGUUUUCUUUGUUUUAAAUAAAGAAUGAGGCGAUUAUCCCAAGAUGCAGUCCUCCCAAGAGAAACAAACUGAAAUGACAAAAAACCUGAAUGGUAAAUAUGAGGGCAGGAAGUACUAAAGCAGGAAAGUGGCUUCAAAUAUCAAAGGCUGUAUUUAGCAAGGUAUGAGUCAUACCUUACUACAUCAUAAAACUUCUGUCCUCAUGCUUGUGAAAGGAGGUUAUCACAUUUUCCUUCUUCCAUGAGCUACUUGUGCUGAUCUCAGUGUUUAUCCAACCUACUCAUAAACAGUUAACCUACUGAAAGCAGCUAAUUAGCCAUUCUAAAACAGGCAGAAUGGUUGCACACAGCUCCCAGUUCCACUGCGCUGUUCAGGUUGAAUAAGAUUCAUUUUUCAGCCUAGUGACCUAGUAGUAAUGCUAGAGUACUCGAGGCAUUCUAAACCAGUAUUACCACCAGUGUCAUUGGGAUGGCCACAGUAUGUAGAUGCUACUCCACUCUGUUCUUAAACCUUCCUUUCUCUGUAAAACAGAUUAUCAAAAGAACACUAUUUGAUUUUGAUUGCAAUCUUUCUUAAUAAAAAAGAUUUAAAAGCUACCAGUGGGGCAAUUCAGUUUAAAAUGCAGCUGAGCAAUGAAAAAUGUUGAGUAAUGUAAGUACCACAGCCACUUUUGCUCCAUGAAACUGCUUAGGGUGUGCAACACACUACCAAUUUCUGUUAUUUUCAAACUCUACCAAUGCAAAAUUACAGUGAGAAAAAGAAUUUUGUAGCUUGAAAUCAUGGCUUGAAAUUGCUUGGAGAAGACUAUACCAGAACACAUGCUGCACAUCUGAAUAAUGCAGAUGGAAUGUAAUUGUCCUCUUAUUCUGUGAAAGGAAGGUAUAGCUCACAGCCUGCUUGAUAGUUGAAAGGAAGCUAUCAAAGCUGCAGGAGAAAGAAUUUGUUAUAUUCUUCCCAGUAUUUUUUAAACUUCUCUAUUAUUAAACUGAAGCACUGACUCAUCUUGAUGAUCUGUUAAGAACAUUUGUAAUGAAUGUGCGCAGAGUAAACAAGAAGCCUCUUCUUACCAUCUGUGCAAGCACUGAUCACAAUAGAAGAGCCUCAGACCCAUAAUUUUCAGCGUUGCAAAACUUUUAGAAUGAAACCGUGUUUAGCAGAUCUCCUAGUUACAUAGCAGAAGGUGGUCCCAGCUCCUACUUGGCACAUAUAUAGUUAUAUAUAUAUAUAUAUAUAUACAUAUACAUAUACAUAUGCAUAUAUCUAGAUAUAUAUAUAUAUAUAGUUCUAGAAGAGGUAAGAAACAGCAUUUUUUUUUUUUGAGCUCUGAUUUUUUACAUUUACUGAGAACUAUACCACUAGAUUUUAUAUAGACUGAUUUAAUAUAGAAGUGAAUACAUACAUAUAUCUUAUUGUAUUAGUUUGGUAUGAUAGGUGUGCUACCAAACUGGAUGUGAAACCCACACAAAACAUCUUGCCUAUCAUUUCCUGGAUCUUUAUUUUUGCCUUUGUUGACAGUUGCCUUUAGAAAAAAAAACAACAAAAAAAAACACUGCUGCGCAAUCUUGAUAACUAUUAGCUAAAUCUGCUAAAAUGUCUGCCCUUUGGCUGUAGAAGAUCAUGAAUUAUCCAUUGAAGAAGAAACAGUGAUUAAGACCACCACAGUUUCAGCUGUGGACAUGUUACACUUCCAGUAACACUACAUUUAAUCAAAAGCCUAUAUUUCUUCUUGAAAACUAUUCAUGUUCUGUUGUAGAAAUUUUCAGCAACUGAGUUGCAAUGCUGUUAUAUGGAUAUGUUUCUACAUUAAAUUUGUUCAAAAUAUCUAAAUAGCUGAUGCUAAUCUUUUAGCAGUUAUUUGUAUUACGAGUAGCAUUCAGAGUGCAAUGUAAAAUACACCUAUAAGUGCACUUGUUUACAAAGAUGGAGGAUGGCCACAUUUACCACACUGAAAGUGCUUAUAUAUUUCUGUGGGUGGUUAUUUUUUAUUUAUUGCUGCACACAGCUGAUGUGAUCGCUGUUAGUGAAUCACAUUUAUAAGUUAUUACGGGAUACUGAUGGCAGUAGCAUAUUUAAGACUGAGGAAAGCUUAUUAUUUUGUAUAUUCAAUUGAUACUGUAUGUGUUUAUUUAAGCAGUAAAUGCCCAAACAAGCCUGAAUACAUAAUGCUGUUUUCAACUGCAUAGUCACACUAAUUUUUAUUUUAAGAUUUGUGACUUUCUCCUCCACAGGAAGCAGCAGCCUUAGCAGUCUAAAUUCAAAGACUGCUCUCAUAUCACCUUAUUAAUAAAACUGUCUAUCACAGCUCUGCGCUUACUUUUUGCUACAGAUUUGCUCUUUAUUUUUAUAUAACAAAAGGUUCACACAGUUUUAAUCCAUCACCUGCUGUAUUAAGAAUAAAACUGAGAAAAAAACUAAGAAAAAUUGUGUUCAAGUUAUAACUUAAAACAUUGUAGGGAAAACUAACAUAGGUUGGUUAGAGGCAAUGAAAGUUGUUAGCAUGUGGCAGGAUACACCAAAGACUGACCUGUGGUUGGUGUCUGAUAUAAAUUCUCCAUCAUUCAUCACCAAGUUCAGGAGGACUCCAUACAAAAACAAAGGUCCUCAAAUGACUGUUGGUAAAGCCAUACUGAUAAUCAUCUUCUAGAGGAAGAAAAUAAAACCUGUGUAUUUCAUUCUGUAACAAGUGGGAUUUCCUUGGCAAACACAGUUGGGCAAAAACUUUUUAAAAGGGAAAAACAUGUAUUUGCUGCUAUAUCUAAAUUUCAAUCUAGACAAGGAAAGACUGCACGUUCAAGUGUCUUAGUUAUAUCAUAUACAGAUCUAAAAAUUAUUUUAUUAUACCUAUAAUAUCUGGGUUGAUGUAAGAACACUCUGAAGUGGUGCUUACAAGCUUGAACUGAAUAUCUCACUUCAAGUCCAGUAUUGUAUUGUAUUGACAUAGCAGAGUUUGGAUCCGCAUUGUAUCAUCUCUGCACAUAGAUUUUUUUUAUUUUAUUUUUAUUUUUUUUUAGGUCAGUGAUAUUUUUAUUGGUCCCACACAUCUGGAAACCAGAAAUUCUCACAGCUAAUUUUGUCGUUUCUUGCAUAAUAUACGUUUUAAAGAUAAGAUAGGAAGAUCACAUUGUCAGCUGAUUCAAAGUGUCUCUUUUAGAUAAUCUGAAAGAAGAAUCUAAAUCAGAAAAAGUGUGCCUUCUGCAAGCAACACACCUUAGAUGAUCGUUUUACUUUUUAGCAAAUUUUUUAGCAAAGUAUCUGUUCAUUACAGUAGUUGAAAUUUAAUGUUCUGGAAAGUCUUUAUUUUUCCAUGUAACUUAUAAAUGACAGGGGAAAGAAAUCCAGACUGUUCCAUUUUCUUUUUGUACCUGUUUUACGUAUGUUGUAUUUAUGCAGCAGCCUUCUGCAGCACAGCCCAUCAUGUCACUGAUCAGAUGGCUUCAGCAGCACCAGUUCAACACAUCACAUGGCCGUGGGGGGUUUCUGGUCACCCCCUCUCACUAAGAGGAGCUCCUAUCAUUGGCCUAAUGACUGCAGGUCCGUGAGUUUCCCAAACAACUAAAAAUGCUGAGUUCUGAUAGGAGCUGUAGCUUGACCUCAGAAAAUGCAUAUUUAUUCUGCCCCAUGUAAACCAGCAGCUGAUCACUUCUGCCACCUGAUGCUUGGUAAGAAAUAUAUGUAAAGAUCCCCUCUGCCACCAAAAUCCAUACGGAAGCCCGUAUUUCCAAGACUUAAGACAACAGAUGCCUGGAUAUGCAUAUGCUCCCAACUGGCUGUCAUACAGGGUUAUUAUGCAGUGCAGGAGCCAGCCUCCAGAGUUAGCCAGCUUCCCUUUGCUUUAUUUACUCAGUAAUGUCAGCCCCAUUCUUGAGCUAGGAACCUCUGCAGCAGCAGCAACUGUGACAUUGUUAAGUAAGUCAGGCAAGGGUAAUUACCAGCUUGUUUACAUAUAAAGAUGAUCUGUGAUGAGAAAGACAACUCAGGAAAAGUACAGCAUGAUUAACUACAGGUAAAACACCAGACUGUUUGUUUAAGCUUUCCAUUGAUACAGCAGUAAUUCUCUCUCUCUCUCUCUCUCUCUCUCUCUCUCACAAGAACCGCUGCACAGUUUACUCUUUCAGUUUUUCAACAUUUUUAAAUCAAAACUCAGCAUCUCUAUCACAUGCAUUUUUCCCUUCAUAGGCUAUCUAUGUUGCUAGGUUGAGUAGUAGCUGAACAGCUCUCCCAUGCAGACACAUUACAGAAGUAUAAAAUAUCACCACCAUUUAAUGAGACUGGUGAGUAUGCCUUUGUUACAGCUUUUGUUUUAAAUCCAGUACUGUGGCUGCCUCCUAGGGCCCUGAAGUAAGCACUCUUUAAAAAGAGCGACAGAUUUAUUCCUCCACUCUGAAUAAGUGAAAAUGUGUUUUGUUGAAACCUCCAGAGAGUAACUGGCUUUACUAUAGAAUCCCCUUUUGUUUAUGGGCUUGAUGAAAACAUUUGGCAUUUAAUGAUUCCCAGGCUAUUCCAAGUUUAAAAAAAAAAAAAAAAUCAAGUGUGCUGAGUGUUAAAAUGUUUUCCACCAACCUCAAAGCAAAUUUAAUAUAAAGACUUGUUUCAGGUAUCAAAUUAGGGUGGAAAUGUUAUGCUUACUGACUCCUACUUUUUAGCAUUUAGACUCAGUAUAAUGCCACACGUUGUUCUUAAAACAGCGUGGGGUAUGAGGGAGACCUACAGAGGUGGCCACCUGAAAUCCAACCAUUCUCCUCUCAGCUUUAGCUUUAUCAUCUGCUGCUCCUCACAUCUUCAAUUUCUUCACAAAAAGAACUCAGAACUAUUUCCAUUUAGAGUAGUCAGGAAUUUACCAGCAGAAAACUUUUAAAUGUAAAACACAGAUAAUGGUUUUUUCGGGUUUGGUUUUUCCUUUGGAGAAGUAACCACUGACCAGUCACUUCCCACUUAGACAUCAUAGAUUUCUCUUUAAGAAAAGCUGAGGUGUAAUUUGCUCAUCUUAUCCUGCUCUCUAGCCAAUAUAUUUCUGCUUCUCAGCACUUCCUCCUUCUAAGCCACCUCAUGGGCUCUGUUCUUAAUAUCAGUCUUUACUUACAGAAACUGCAAAACAUAUUCACAACCAUGCAGAAUAUAGCAUGUGAAGUGCUUACUUAGUUUUGUGGGAAAGGAUCCUAGGGCUGAAUGGCCUUAGAGAUACAUUUUUUUUUUCUAUAGAUGGAAAAGGUAAAUAGCCUGGGAAACUUAUCUUUAAAAACAAGAAUAACUAUUUUAUAUUUUUCCUUUCAGGGAAACAAAAUUUGUACAGAAGACAUUUAUGUUAUUUGCAUGGAUCACUAGGCAUAAAGAUGACUGACACCAUAUAACAACUGGGCAUACAAAAGAAUCACUCUAUCAAAGAAGUGACUACAUACUUUUAAAAUCCAAGAGCCACUGAAUAUUAUAUGCAGCAGAUGAAGACUUCUUCAGCUGGACAAAAAUUCCAGACUUCUAAAGGAGGAAAACUGUUACAUUUGAUCUCUCAGGGUAACCACCUCCUGAGACCUAAGUUCUUGCAAUCUUAGCCUUGUUUUCCCAUAAAAACACAUAAAAAGGGGUUUCUAAUAAGAAACCCAUACAGGAGCUCAGGACAUUUCUCUCAUGCAAUCCAUUAAUUACCCAAAGAAAACCAAUCAUUAUAGAUCUAACAUUGACUUUAGCUUGUCUCUUGCUUCAUAGCAUUUAUUAUUGUUUACUGAAGACAUGAUGCAAUCCUGGCAAACCAUCCAAACCAGCACCCACCUAGUUCCAGCAUGUGUUACUGACUGAGACAGACAGCCAUUCUCCAAGUCAUCAGUUGUUAAAGCCAUUGCAAAAAUCACCAUGAGGUGAUUUUUAUUACUCACCACACUCUUGGGAGGGAUUGCUCCUAAACUACCAGUUACCCCACCUUAAAAUAACUUUUCCUUUCAUGUACUUGGAAAUGCUGCAGCAUAACUGAGGUCAGAGAAAGCAAAAUAAACACCAUCUUUGGUCUGCAUAUCAUUUCACUCUCAUGACUUCCUCCUUUGAUGCAGUUUAAACCUGUUGCCUACAGACCACUGAAAGAUCCUAACUUAGGACUAAGAGAAAUGCAAAAGAUAAUCAUGGAGCUCUAUGCUUAUGAGCCACUAAACUAGCCCAGUUCAUAAUAACAAGGACUUUCCCCCUCCCUUCAGAAAGUACUUCAUGGAGAGGAGCAAUAGGAACCAAAGACAGACACUACAGAAUAUUAUUGCUCUAUUUUCUCACCUGUGCAUUGCUCUGACGUUUUCACACAACAGUGCUCUCAGGGAGAGAACAAGAAGCCCAACUCAGCUUCACUGCACUCUAGAACCCCGGGGAGGACAUCUCCCUGUCUACCGGCUGGAGGAAAGAUCUGAAGGAACAUUGAGAUUUAGCACCUGAUUUGUUGUUGUUGUUGUUGUUUAGUUUUUUGCUUUUUAAAUUAACUUUCCCCUUUUCCUCCGGUUUUUCUUUAUUUGCUCUCCUUAAGUGCCAAAAAAGAUGGCUUAUGCUAUUGAUGAUUUGUUCACUGACAUAGCCAUCUCUUUCCCUCCCCAGUAAGGCAGCAGAAUCCCAGCAAUUUUUCUCCUUUCCUAUCAGUUUAUGUAGCUCACCUAACCAUUGUGCUACUCAGACUUCUAAAACAGUUAUAAAAUUAAGGAUAACUUAGGUCACGGCAAGUUACGUUCCAGGAAGCCUUAAUUCAUAAGAGAUUCACUGAAGUUCUAUCACUAACUAAUGGUGACUAUUUAAGCAUACAAAAGCAUCUAUUACCAUUGUUCCUGAAUAAGUUCAUUCCUUUGCUAGGACUUCCAUCUCUGCUACAGAUGCUGAAUUUCUGUAUGGUUCAUGCAACAGAGGUUACUUCCAGUAACACAGGGUAGAGGGGAAAUUGCCAUAGCAGUCUCCUUUUCUUUUCCCGCUAUGGAAACUAUCUAACCUUACAGGAAAUACAUGAUUUAUGAGCCAAAUUCAAUUCAUUAAAAUUUCAUAAACAAAUAGCACAAACAGGAUAUGAACAACACAGGUUGUACUGAAAACCCAAAGGCAAUAAUAUGUAUGUCUCAGUAUUUUACUUCAUGUCCACUUUAGUGCUAGCUUGGUCCCAGAAACUGAUUACCUAUUAUCAUUCAGACACAAAUUAAUGUGCUCUUCUUCGUGGCAUUCCUCACUAUUUUGUGUCCUUGCAAAGGGGUACAAUCCUGAGUUUUCUUUCAAAAACACAUCCCUGGCUCAAGGGCAGACCAGUAGGCUCCAUUGACAUCACAGCCAUUUUAAGAUGAGGCAUAAGAUAAGGAGGAAAGGAGUUAGGGUGCAAAGUCAUGCUGCUUAAAUAACAGCAACCCAGCUUAGACAUCCAAGGAAUCAUAGCCACUGCUGUUGUUACGUAGUUCUUAUGUUUUAUGUUCAAACAACCACAAAGGAAAAACAGAUGCAGGUAUAUUUGGCGGUACACAUUAAAACAUCUCAGCAAACAAAGGCAGGCAAAAAAAAAGAGUUGCCCUUUUAGGAAUACUCUGUUAGAUCUGGCAGCAAGGAGUGGGAGGAGGUCACUGGUAUGCAUUCACUUGUGCCACAGAAGAGAAAGACAAAGCAAAAGCAGAAUAAAUUAACUAAAAAGUUUAUCUUCUAUUUAUCUUAGGUUUUGUAUUAAGGCUAAUGUUUUAAUGGAAAUUGGGUGAUAGUUCUUUCCUGCACUUUCAGCAACUACUGAAUAUUAUUUUGAUCCCACUAACUGCCUUCUGAGGAAGGUACACACCAGGUGCUUGCAAGAGAAGACUUUUCCUGGGCCCUAUUAACAUUUCAACGCUUAAAACAAAACCAUGUCUUUUCUGCAGCCUCUUUGCCAAGUACUUCUGGCACUUUCAUACCUGAGUAUGAGCUAAAGCAAAACUAUUGGCUGCCUUCCAGAUUAAUGAGUUUCCAGUCUCUAAUGAAAAGACAAAACUGUAAGAAGUGCAACACUCUGCUUUUGAGUUGUUUGCAAACACAUCUGCCUGAGAAGCAGCAGCCAUCAGACUACAUUUGACCUUUAUGAGAUCCUGUCUCUCUCCCCUCCCUCCCCUUUUUUCCCCUUUUUGCCACAACUUUUCCUAUUUAAAAAGAGGAGGAUUACCAGGCUAGCAUUAAAAACAAACAAACAACAACAACAACAAAAAAACAGUAAGAACCACUCACAUCUACUUGUCCUUCACUCUACUUGUUUCCUUUUUCUUCAUUUGGUUAUGGUCAUCCACAGAACAGCAGCAGCUGCAGCUCUGCACAGUUCAGCUGUAACUGAUCUAACUGAGGCAUCAGAAUGCUACUAAUGUUCUCACUGCUAAUUCAUACUGCUAUCAUCAGGGCUUCAAAUACAAAAAUGGAUUUUUGUGAUUUUACAGAUGAAUUUGCUCCCAUCUUGGUGUAAUUUUACAAGUGCUUUUUGAGAAAGCAGUCCCCAAGUUCACUGAGGUAAAUCCCAGAGCACCACAUUAGUCACAAGGAAAGAAGAACCAGCAAAGAGAACAAAAAUAUCUAAUACAAUGGGAACCCUCCCUUACAAUACAGUCACAGAAACUCCAAGAUGCUCAAGUUCUAAUAGUGCCAAGAUAUAAACAGCUAUUUAUGAUCACCUUCCUGCACACUGGCAUAAGUCUUUCUAAGCAGUUCUUUGGGAUUGUCACCCUAUGCCUGCAAAACAUAUUAAAACUAUCUUCUCCUAGAAUUGUUUAAUUGGUAUUAAUUACAUUUAAUGCCUGUUACACUCAUCAUUAAGCACAGCUACUACUCAUCCUGUAUCGGUGCUUUCUAAAACAUAACUGCAGACAACAAGAGUACUGCUGGAUCACUCAGGUCUGCUGCCCCCUUGUAUGUUUGCUACAGCACAACAAAUUCAAGGUACAACUGAGCAUCCCAUGAAGUUAAAGAAGUCAGAGUGCCUAUAAGGAAAAUUUCUGCAAGUAUUAGAAGUUCAUCACCAACACUAAUACACAAUCACUUCAGUUUUUAGAGGAGGUUAAAAAUACAUAGGUAGCACUGAGGAAGUACUCUUAGGUUUGUAUUCUGUCUUCUUCCCACUUGUCCUAUCUUGUAUAAUGCCUAACUCUCCUAUGCAAUAAAAUGCCAAAACUUGGCAGUUACUUCUUCACAGAAGUUUCUGGAAAUAGCAGCUGCAAUAACAGAAGCUGUCGAGACUUUCCUUUUACAGGCCUGCAUCAACCCCACUGAACACGACUUGCUGCAUUCUCUAGAUGUACACAUGCCAGCAAGCUCAUUCUGUUGUUUUGAACUAGGAGAAAAGGUAAGCCAACUCUUUUCUCCAUUAAAUUGAUGUAAAGAAGGAAAAACUUAAACUAAACAGCUUUAUUGCCUUAUACUUGUGUGUGCCUGCCUACAAGUUUCAAUGGAUCCUAGGCUGGAAUGCACAUGAUUUUAUCACAAAGAAACUGUAUCUCAGCAGAGGUGAAUAUGAAUAAUACAAAGUCCAGCCAAUAGACAUGGCUGCUGUCUGGGACAGAUAUAGGAACUGGGUAGGAAAACUCCCCUCUUUGCUCCGGAGCAGCAGCAAAAGCCCUACUUUCACCACUGUAGAAGACUUCACCCUCUCCCUCUGCCUAUAUCCACCGCACCCAGCAGCAAUGCCAGCAACAGCCCCACUGAUGAAGACAUUCACUUCAGCAAAGCUGAAUCAGUUCCACUGUCAGGGUAAAUGGACCUGUUUCACACUCAGAAAGCCUACAUCAGUGCUCAGGCUUCCCCAUCCAGACAUGAAAGAGAAGCGCCACAGCUGGUUAAAUAAUUCUGCCCAGAAGAUUAAGCAUGUAACACAGGCUUUUGAAAGAAGUAAGAGUGGCUGUCAUGCUUUUACUUGCCCUGAUAGCCAUGCACUUUAUGAGAGAUGCCAAGUGCUAUUGCAAACAGUCUGUACUUCCAUGACAGUAAGAGCCUCUGCUCUUUUCAUUGCCACAGACCAGCGCUUUUGAUCCAUCAGCAGUGCUUGGCGUUCAUUCCCAAGGGAAAUCCUUUGAAAUGUACCUUCAUCUUGAUCACUGACCUCAAGCUGGUCCAAUACCACAAGCACCAGUGCAAAGAGCUGCAGCUGCUUUGUGCAGAACUUUAUCUGAUUACUAGAUUUCAAAGCAACUAAAUCCAGUCUAAUCCACCACAUAAAUCAGUCAAACUAUUUUUAAUGCAAGUUCUUUCUUUUAAAACAUAACAAGUGGCCUAAAAUUCAGACUAAAAUUUAGCAUAGCUUUUUUUUCUGUCCCAGAACCAGCCUACUACAGUUUAUUGAUCAUUGUAUCAUUGAAGCUUAUAUCAUAUUAAGAAUAUUAUAAUAAAACAUUAAAACCACUUAGGAAAAGCAAACAUAUACAGAUCAAAGAAAAAGUUAUGAAUACAGAUAACCACAAAAGAUGAAAAUAAAACAGCUUAAGCUAUUUAUAAGUAAUUGCCAAUUAUUUAUUUAUUCUGAUACAAAUAUAUCCCAUUAGAACAUCAACAUUUUCUAUUUUGCUUAAAAUAAUCACUAACAAAGAAGUCUGAACAUGAAAAUAAUUCGUUCAUCUACUCAAUUUGACACAGAAGUCACUUUAGAGUAAGCUCUGUCAAUUCUUUUUAAAAAACACAUAAUAUCUGUAACAUACGUAUAUAUAUACUUAUGGAUUGGGAUCUCCAGCUGCCAUGAGACUGAAGAAAUGCUUAUGAACUCAGAAAGCAGGAAUUGUAUUUCAUUCACCCUUUUUGCCAUGGUAAAAAAAGUCAACAUGAUCCAGAUGUUCCAGGUGUUAAAGAAUGCCUACUUGGUAACUACUGUCCAAGACACAAGGUUUAUCUUUAUAGUGCUGAAAUAAUGUAUUUAAUCCAGAGAUAAUACAGCAGCCUUCUUCCAUUACUCUUCAGAGUGGAGAACACGGUUUAACACUUCUUCACAUUUUGGUAAUUUAAAUGAAGUCACAUUAUUUAUCUAAUGGCCAAACAAAUCAGAAAGCAUUAUAGUACAAUGAGGUGGUAUAACUAAGUAGUGAAAUAUUAAAAUGGCAAGUUAGGUUUCCUAUCAAGUGAUAUGAAAUAGUGGGUUUCUUCUGUAUUACACCUAUCAUUAGUAUUACCACAAUUUGUAAUUAUUUUCAGUUCUUUAAGAGAAUGAUUCUGCUGUUCUUUUUAAAGAGGAAGGAAGAAACUGAAUUUUUGAGUGCAUGGGUCAUUGCAACUACCUAGCAUACAUUUAUUUUCCCUCUUAGACCUCUACACUUAUUUUCCUCACCACCACCAUCUCAGAGCUCAUAGAACUCCGAGUUUUGCUGCUGGAAUGUCCAUGAACUUGGAGGAGCCUGGUUUCCUGACAUCAGAAAGCUGUUCUACCAAAGCCACAGUAUGACACCAGUGCAACUUAAAGGAUGUCACAAACUCCUCCAGGGCAGCACUGGCUACAGACAGAGGUUAAAUUUCGUCAUCACCAUGGAUACUCAGGACAAUAUUACAAUAGAGCAUUAGCACUGCUGAUCUCAGGAGCACCAGGUGAAAUGACAGCUAUUCUGGUGUAACAGAAGAGAUAGGAGCAGUAAAUUACUUUUAAAAAUAAAAGCUUGCAUACAAGUUUCCAUCAUUAAAUCGUUGUAGAAUGACACUGUAUAUGUAUUUACAGUACGUCCCUUUUCAUAACCUGUCUUACAGUGAUGCCAGCUGAAAGGAAACACACACACAAGUUUUCCUCAGCUCCCCUAGCCACCGAGCAGCUGUUCCUCUGCAGAAGAGGAGAACAAGGAGAGGGCUCCUCAACGAAAACCAGUUCCAUUACAGGUGGACAUCUCCCUAACUACAGCCCCCAUACUGUGGGCAUGCCCAAGAACACAGAAACCAUGCUCAUGAAAAACACCUAGCGAUAUUAACUCACCAACAGGAAUGGAAAAUGCCUUCAUGUUUUGCCUACACUCAAAUAUACUCUUGCCACUCCAGCUCCAUAUCAAAUACAGAGCAGGCUAGCAAAUUACAGAAGCUGGAGCAGAUCUCGUUAAUAGGUAUUUGACAGAAAGCGCCUCAAUAAUGCACAAAUCUUGUAGGUAAACUUCCUUCUGUUUUGAGUUGAAUGAAUGAGGCCUUGUCCCUUACCUCAGAUGUGGUGAUAGGGUCAACUACCCAAUACCAGUAUCAAAGAAACACAGUAAUAAACAACAGAAGACAAACCAUGUUAGGCCAUGCUGCACAAACUGUAAAUUCAACAACAGCAUAAAACCAACGAUACUUGGAAUGCUAUCAAAUCAACAGAAAAAGUAUUUUUGCAGUGUUCAGACUGCUUCCUCUUGUGCAGGCUUGGAAUAAAACAGUUUAUUCAACUGUGAGAUCCAGAGAGAUUUAGUAAAAACAGCAUGGAAGGAAUGCCAUCACAGGCAUAAAUUAAGAGCCUCAUUGGUAAACAAAGCUACACAGUUCUCAUCCCAUUAGCAGACAAACUUGGUGAUGUUUUCCAGCCUUAAUGAUUCUGUGAUUCUAUGUUUGAGAAGUCUUCUGAACUCUAGUAUAUGGGGCACAAUAAUGGAUGCAAGAGGCCAGGCUGAUGCCAGGCUUGCUGGGAACAUCUGACCUUAAAGAUGCCACCAGCUGAAAAACAGCUGUAUCAUGAAGCAACUCAUGACUCCAGUUAACUGAGUCCUUAUAGAAAAAUAGCACAUGCCUCUUCAUGCACCUGCAAUACGAACCAAAAAAAUUAGCCAGAAAUACUGGCCUUUCAGAGGUACUCAAGUGAACAUGCUUACAAUAGGAAUUUACUUUACGAAGUGUUGUUUGCCAAGUUUGACAAAGUUUGACUGCCAAAUGCUGCAGAUCUAAACAAGCUAUAAUGGUUGCCCACAUCCGACUUACAGCAUUGAAAUUAAUCGUGUGUUGCUGUAAAUCCUGAAAUCUGUGCUACCUCCUUACAGAGGAAUCCAGAUACGUGGCCCAGAACUUAAAAACUUCUGGAUCAGCUCCUAGUGAAACUCCCCUGAGGUGAUCAGGGAGGCUUUAAUCUUUAUCACCCACCAGGCUAGCAAAUUAGCUCUGAGAGGAGCUCUUCUAGGUAGGCAGAUACUGACUGACAUCCAGUUAGGCACAGUAAUACCACCCUGCUGCUUGGCAGUAGGCAGGGCAGUAAGCAACGCAACAUGUGGGCAUCAGGUUUACAAAGUUGAUUGGAGGAUCACCGCCCAACACCAGUUGGGAAGACUGAAAUUCUAAUUAAUCUGUUUAUGCAAGCAAUCUAUUUCCAGCACUAGCAGAUAGUAUUUCAAGAAAAAUUUAAAACAUGACUAGUUUUGUAAGCAGCAUAUUUACUAUACUCAUAUUACCAGUGAUACCUAUGAGUAGCAUGUUUAGAAUGGACUUGAAAACAGAAAACCAGUUCUUUCAGAACCUCCUUAAUAUUUAUAGCUCUAUUGGAGGCAUAGUGUCUACCCUCCACCUGGGGAUAGAUGAGGAGCUGACAGAGAGCUUAUGGGUUAGGGUUAAAAGACGCAGGGGAAGGAGACACUGUAGUGGGAGUCUGCUACAGGCCAACCACCUGGUCUGGAAAACCAAGCAGAUGAGGCCCUCUACAGAUAGAAGCAGCUUCAUGUUCACAAAACAUGGUCCUCAUGGGGGAUUUCAGCCAUCCCAAUACUUGUUGGAGGGACAACACAGCAGAGCACCAGAAAUUGAAGAUGUUCCCGGAAUGCAUUGAUGAUAACUUUCUCUUCCAAGUGGUACAUGAACCCAUGAGAAAAAUGCUAUGCUGGACCUUGUUCUCACUAAUGAGGAGGGACUGGUGAGUAAUGCAAAGCUCAAGGGCAGCUUUGGCUGCAGUGACCACGAAACAGUGUUGUUCAAGAUCCUUACGGCAUCAAAGAGGGUGUGCAGCAAGCUUGCUACUCUGGACUUCAGAAGCACAGACUUCGAACUCUUCAGGGAACUACUUGGCAGGGUGACAUGGGAUAAAGCCCUGGAGGGAAGAGGGACCUAAGAAAGCUGGUCAGUAUUCAAGGACCAUCUCCUCCAAGCCCAGAAGCAUUGCACCCUGAGAAAAAGGCAGGCAGGCAGGCAAGAGUGCCAGGAGGCCUUCAUGAAUCAACUAGGAGUUCCUGGACUUCCUUAAGUAGAAAAAUAAAGUAUAUAGGGAGUGGAAGCAGGAGCAGGUUGCCUGGGAGGACUACAGGGGAGUGGAAGCAGGAGCAGGUUACUUGGGAGGACUACAGAACAGUCGUCUGAGCAGCUAGGGAUCAUGUUAGGAAAGCUAAAACCUAGAUAGAAUGAAAUCUAGCCAGGUACAUAAAGGGGAACAAGAAGAAAUAUUACAGGUUUAAUUAGUGAUUAAAGGUCAGGGAAGAUGUGGGUCCCUCUCUGGGAGGAAACUGAAUACCUGGUCACAAGGGAUAUGGAGAAAGCCAAGGUGCUCAAUGGCUUCUUUGCUUCAGUCUUCGCUGGCAAAGGCUCUAUUCAUGCUGCCCAAGCUGCAGAAAGCAAUGGUAAGAAGCUGCUCACUCUAAGUGAAGAUCAGGUUCAAGACCGUCUAAAGAACCUGAAGGUGCACAAGUCCAUGGGAACUGAUGAGAUCCAUCCACAGGUUCAGAGGGAACUGGCAGAUGAAGUUGCCAAGCCACUAUUUAUCAUAUUUAAAAGGUUGUGGCAGUCUGGUGAAGUUCACACUGAUCGGAAAAGGGGAAACGUAACCCCCAUUUUCAAGAAGGGAAAAAAAAAAGAUCCAAGGAACUACAGGUCAGUCAGUAUCACCUCUGCACCUGGCAAGAUCACAGAGCAGAUCCUCCUGAAGGCCCUACUAAGGCACAUGGAAAAUAAAGAUGAGGUGAUUGAUGAUAACCAGCAUGGCUUCACCAAGGGCAAGUCAUGCCUGACAAAUGUAGUGGCCUCUUAUGAUGGAGUCAUAGUGUCAGUGGAUAAAGGAAGAACAACUGAUGUCAUCUACCUAGAUUUGUGCAAAGCAUUUGACACUGUCUGACACAUCAUCCUGGUCACCAAAUUAGAGAAAAAUCAAUGUGAUGGAUGGAUCACUCACUGCAUAAGGAAUUGGCUGGAUGGUUACACUCAGAAAGUUGCAGUUAACAGCUCAGUGUCCAAUGUGCUGGGAUUGAUGUUAUUUAACAUCCUUGUAGGUGACAUGGACAGUGGGACCAGACUCACGCUCAGCAAGUUUGCAGACAACACCAAGCUGAGUGGUGCAGAUGACAUGCUAGAGGGAAGGAAUACUAUCCAGGGAGAAUCAGAAUCACCAAGGUUGGUAAAGACCUGUAAGAUCAUCCAGUCCAGCCAUCCACCUAUAACCAAUAUUUCCCACUAAACCAUGUCCCUCAGUACAACAUCUAAACAUUUCUUGAACACCUCCAAGGGAUGGAAGGACCUGGACAGGCUGCAGAGGUGGGCCCAUGCCAACCUCAUGAAGUUCAUCAAAGUCAAGUGCAAGGUCCUGCAACUGGGUCAGGGCAAUCCCAAGCACAGAUAGAUGUUGGGCAGAGAAUGGCUUGAGAGCAGCCCUGAGGGGAAGGAUUUGGGGGUGUCAGUUGAUGAAAAAUUCAAUAUGAGCUGGCACAGUGCACUUGCAGCCUAGAAGGUCAACUGUAUCCUGGGUUGCAUCAAGAGAAGCUUGACCAGAAGGUCAAGGAUAGUGAUUCUUCCCCCCUGCUCCUGUGACACCCUACCUGGAGUACUGUGCCCAGUACUCUGGGGCCCUCAACACAAGAACAUGGAGAUGUUGGAGCAGGUCCAGAGGAAGGCCACAAAAAUGAUCAGAGGGCUGGAACACCUCCCCCAUGAGGACAGGCUGAGAGAGCUGGAGCUCUUCAUUCUGGAGAAGAGAAGGCUCUGGGGGGGAACUUUAUAGCAGCCUUCCAGUACCUGAAGGGGCCUACAGAAAAGCUGAGGAGGGACUUUUUACAAGGGCAUGUAGCAAUAAGAUGAGGGGAAAUGGUUUUAAACUGGAAGAGGGUAUAUUCAGACUAGAUAUCAGGAAGAAAUUAUUUCCUGUGAGAGUGGUGAGACACUGGAACAGGUUGCCCAGCAAGGUUGUGGAUUCCCUCUCCCUGGAAGCAUUCAAGGCCAGGCUGGAUGGCUGUGAGCAGCCUGAUCUAGAUGGAGGUGCCUAUAGCAGGGGGCUAGGCUAGAUCAUCUUACAGAUCCCUUCCAACCCAACCCAUUCUAUGAUUCUAUGAUAACAUCUUCAUUAAUUCAGAUAUUAACACCUGAAAACAGCAAUUUUUUGCCUUAAUAUUUCUGCAUCCAAGAUCUGCAUUUGCAGCUAAGAGAUAAUGACAUCUUUAACUGUACAGUAAUAACUAAACAGUUAGUCAGCAGCAGUUGUUUAAUCAAGUUUGUUUUGUUUUUCAACUGAAGUGUUUAAGUGGCAUUGAAGGACACUGGGUGACUACAAUUUUUGAUCACUAAAUAAUACCUGUCUACACUCUAACCGGUUUCCUACUGUAGGAAAAAAUAUUUCUACCAUUCAUUUCACCAUGAAGAAGGCAUGUGAAACAGAGGGAAAGAAUCACAUCCUAAAGUUGCCUCUUUCCCUCCAAUGAUUUUAAAAGGAACCUGAAGUACAGCUAAGGGAAAGGCAUCUACAUCAGGCAAAUCCUAU